rnacentral:rRNA from 1 species
GACGAACGCUGGCGGCGUGCUUAACACAUGCAAGUCGUACGGUAAGGCCCUUUCGGGGGUACACGAGUGGCGAACGGGUGAGUAACACGUGAGUAACCUGCCCACAACUUUGGGAUAACGCUAGGAAACUGGUGCUAAUACUGGAUAUGUGCUCCUGCUGCAUGGUGGGGGUUGGAAAGCUCCGGCGGUUGUGGAUGGACUCGCGGCCUAUCAGCUUGUUGGUGGGGUAGUGGCCUACCAAGGCGGGGACGGGUAGCCGGCCUGAGAGGGUGACCGGCCACAUUGGGACUGAGAUACGGCCCAGACUCCUACGGGAGGCAGCAGUGGGGAAUAUUGCACAAUGGGCGCAAGCCUGAUGCAGCAACGCCGCGUGCGGGAUGACGGCCUUCGGGUUGUAAACCGCUUUCAGCAGGGACGAAGCUUUUUGUGACGGUACCUGCAGAAGAAGCACCGGCUAACUACGUG